UGGGGAAUAUUGCACAAUGGGGGAAACCCUGAUGCAGCAACGCCGCGUGAGUGAAGAAGUAUUUCGGUAUGUAAAGCUCUAUCAGCAGGAAAGAAAAUGACGGUACCUGACUAAGAAGCCCCGGCUAACUACGUGCCAGCAGCCGCGGUAAUACGUAGGGGGCAAGCGUUAUCCGGAUUUACUGGGUGUAAAGGGAGCGUAGACGGUUUUGCAAGUCUGAAGUGAAAGCCCGGGGCUUAACCCCGGGACUGCUUUGGAAACUGUAGGACUAGAGUGCAGGAGAGGUAAGUGGAAUUCCUAGUGUAGCGGUGAAAUGCGUAGAUAUUAGGAGGAACACCAGUGGCGAAGGCGGCUUACUGGACUGUAACUGACGUUGAGGCUCGAAAGCGUGGGGAGCAAACAGG
rnacentral:rRNA from 1 species